UGGCGGGCGGGUGAGUAAUGUCUGGGAAACUGCCCGAUGGAGGGGAUAACUACUGGAAACGGUAGCUAAUACCGCAUAACGUCGCAAGACCAAAGAGGGGGACCUUUGGGCCUCUUGCCAUCGGAUGUGCCCAGAUGGGAUUAGCUAGUAGGUGGGGUAACGGCUCACCUAGGCGACGAUCCCUAGCUGGUCUGAGAGGAUGACCAGCCACACUGGAACUGAGACACGGUCCAG
rnacentral:rRNA from 1 species